UUUCCUUCUUCUCCCUCAACUCUCUCUCGCUCUCUUCUCUAAACAGCUAAGAAUCCCGCUAACUGAAUCUUCAACUAGGUUUCGUAAAAUUAAUUCCGGAGAUCAACAAUUCGGCCGAUUGUUUUCCUUUUCUUCGAUUAUGGUUCGUGAUUUAAUGAAAAUAUCUUCGAAGAUUAUGAUCGCGAUGAGGAUGCUCUUCAUCGAAGAUUCAUAAGGAGAGGAAUUGAUUCAGAAAAUCUGAACAAGAUAAACGGGGUCAUGAAUUAUUUUUCUCAAAAGCAAAUAACUGAAACAUUUUAUUGAGAAAAAUCAAUUAGAAGCAUCAGCAGCAGAAGAUUUUAUCUCACCAUCUAUCAUCAAAAUUGUCUUGGAGAAAGAAGAGAAGCUAGAAGGUGAUGCCGCUUUGAACAAGCUAUCCUCUGACAUAUACCGAUGAUGAUACCAAGCGUGAGAAAAUAUUUUAUAUUGUUGGAGUGUUGGUCACAGAUCCCAAACUCGGGAGAAUCAGAUGCCCAUGAAGGUGUAUGUGAAACUCGGCGCUCGACGUGCAAG